rnacentral:rRNA from 1 species
UGGGGAAUAUUGCACAAUGGGGGAAACCCUGAUGCAGCGACGCCGCGUGAACGAAGAAGGUAUUCGUAUCGUAAAGUUCUGUCCUAUGGGAAGAUAAUGACAGUACCAUAGAAGAAAGCCCCGGCUAAAUACGUGCCAGCAGCCGCGGUAAUACGUAUGGAGCGAGCGUUGUCCGGAAUUAUUGGGCGUAAAGGGUACGCAGGCGGUUUAAUAAGUCGAAUGUUAAAGAUCGGGGCUCAACCCCGUAAAGCAUUGGAAACUGAUAAACUUGAGUAGUAGAGAGGAAAGUGGAAUUCCUAGUGUAGUGGUGAAAUACGUAGAUAUUAGGAGGAAUACCAGUAGCGAGGGCGACUUUCAGGACACAAACUGACGCUGAGGUACGAAAGCGUGGGGAGCAAACAGG